rnacentral:rRNA from 1 species
CCUACGGGUGGCAGCAGUAGGGAAUAUUGCUCAAUGGGGGAAACCCUGAAGCAGCAACGCCGCGUGGAGGAUGAAGGUUUUCGGAUUGUAAACUCCUUUUGUUAGAGAAGAUAAUGACGGUAUCUAACGAAUAAGCACCGGCUAACUCCGGGCCAGCAGCCGCGGUAAUACGGAGGGUGCAAGCGUUACUCGGAAUCACUGGGCGUAAAGAGCGCGUAGGCGGGAUAGCAAGUCAGAUGUGAAAUCCUAUGGCUUAACCAUAGAACUGCAUUUGAAACUGUUAUUCUAGAGUAUGGGAGAGGCAGGUGGAAUUCUUGGUGUAGGGGUAAAAUGCGUAGAGAUCAAGAGGAAUACUCAUGGCGAAGGCGACCUGCUAGAACAUAACUGACGCUGAUGCGCGAAAGCGUGGGGAGCAAACAGGAUUAGAUACCCGGGUAGUC